rnacentral:rRNA from 1 species
GACAGAGGGUGCAAACGUUGUUCGGAAUUACUGGGCGUAAAGCGCGUGUAGGCGGCUAAGUAAGUCGGGCGUGAAAUCCCACGGCUCAACCGUGGAAGUGCACUCGAAACUGCAUAGCUAGAGUCCUGGAGAGGAAGGUGGAAUGCUUGGUGUAGAGGUGAAAUUCGAUAGAUAUCAAGCGGAACACCGGUGGCGAAGGCGGUUCUCUGGGCCUUACCUGACGCGAGGAGCGAAAGC